rnacentral:lncRNA from 1 species
ACUCUUUCUUUCCUUGUCUUGACCCUCUGGAUAUUUUCUUCACAGCAACUUGUAAAUCUAAAUCAGCAAAGUAACCUUUAAAAACUGCUCCAAAACCACCUUGACCCAACUUUCUAUCCUUAGAAAAGUUAUUGGUUGCCAACUCAAGUUCUUUGUAGGUAAACCUCCUUGGCCCUGCUCCUCUUUCAAGGUCAUCAUUCAUUGAAGUCAAAUGCAUAGCCUCUUCCUUUUGCUUUUCACUUCCUCUCUUUUCCUCUUUAGUAUUACAUAUGCUACCAAUGCUCCCACUCCUAUAAUUACAGCCCCUAAAGAGACUGUUAGUAUCACAACUAAUCUUGUAUCUUUACUAUUACUAUCAUCACUUUUCUCCAAAUUGGAAUUAAAUUCCCAUGACAAAAGAUUAUUUAAUUCUCUUAUGUUACCUAUUGAAGCAGAAAAUCCUAUGGUAACCCAUUCAGGCAAAACCUUCAUUAAAUCAAUUUCAUAUGAAAGGCUAGUUUUUUCUUCUGGAUUUGAAGUUCUUUGGUAUUUCCAAGAUACUGUUAAAUUCUUGGUUGUAGAAUUGAAACUAAUCCAUACCUCAGCAAUGUCUCCACUGUGUAGACUAGCAUUCCAAGGUGUAAACACAGAUGACAUGAUUGAAUUAACGUUGAUUCCCACAUGCUCGGUUGUCUCACCCCAUUCACCAUUGGGAAAAGAAUCAAACUCCACAAGAACAAUUUGGUUACUAGAUGAAACCAUGGUUGUCAUGUUAAAUAGGCCCAUAAAAGCAGUAGCUGAAUUUGGUGGAAUAUCAAAUCCAAAAGGAGCCAAAAAAAAUGCAAGUCCAUGACCAUGCCUAGAAUUAUUUUGAGUGUCAAUGAUAAAAGUGUAAUGGGUUUUGAAAUCAGUGACUUGACCUGUUUUUGAAUCCCAAAGUAACACCUUUCUGGAAUACAUGGCCCUUCCAACUUGAAAUGGAUACUUUUCAUAAAUGUUAAAAUCAACCUUUCCAUCUCGUGGUGCUGCUGAACCUUGGUAGACUAUGUUUGCAUCAUUAGGAUUAAAACUGGUAAUUUGGAAGUGAAUUGAAUUUGAAGGGAAAGUGAAGAAAAUAAAUGACAAGAAGAAAAGGGAAACGGUAUAGAAACUAGGAGCCAUGCCUUGAACUGCAUACAUUCUUGACUUGUAAGUAUAUAAAUAUAAAUAGAAAAAUGUUAUGUAGUAAAAGGAAGAUUCCUUAAAAAAAGUAGUAAAAGGAAGAAGGCAAUGAAAACAAAUCCAACAGUACAAAACAACAUAUAUGUUGACAUUUUUUAUUAUGCUAGUUACCUAGCAUUGAAUGGGUACGAAACCUAUAUGUGUAUAUAUACCCAACUUUCCACUCUUUGAAAAGUAACAUCAAUGAGAUGAGAUGAAUAUGUUCCCAAUUCCAACUUCGAAACAUAUAUAUAAAUAAAUAAAUGUUUCAUCUAUUUUAAAAUAAAUGUCUAUUAAAAGUUAGGUUAAAGAUGUUUUUAGUCUCUAUAAAUAUGUCAAUUUUUUCGUUUUAGUCCUUCUAAAAUUCUUCUUCAACUUUUAGUCCUCUAAAAGUUUUUUCAUCUUCACUUUUGGUACCUCCUUUAAAAUGAACUCAUAUGUAGGAUUUGUACUUUUGAAUAAAAUUUUGUAGAAAAUAUUUAAUAUAAGAAUCUCUCAAAAAAAAUUUUAGAAUUUUUUAACAAAACAUGAAUCUAAAUAUGAAUUUUUAUAUUUUUUGUGUUAAAAAUUCAUAUUUAAUUUGUGUUUUGUUAAAAAAUUGAAAGAAAAAAAAAUCGGAGAAUUUUACAAUAUUCUACACAUUUCUACAUAAUUUCAUUUAAAAAAAAAAAAUACAAAAAUUGACUUAAAAAUAGGGACCAAAAGUAGCGACUGAAAUUUUAUAGGUCUAAAAGUUUAAAGAAAAUUUUAAAAAACUAAAACAAAACAUUGCUAUAUCUGUAAGUACCAAAAAUAUAUUUAACCCUUAAAAUUUUUACUAAGAUUAAAAAAUGUAAUAAAGUUGUCACAAAACAUGACACUUGCUAAAGUAACUUUAUUAAUUAUUGAUGUAUUUUUUUAGUAAAAUAUAAUUCAAGAAUAACGUACGUAAUAGUAAUUAAGAGGUACAGUACAUUUGGGAAAAAAAACUAAUUCUACAUUAAAAAAAAAGAAAAAUAACAUUAUUUUGAAAUAAAAUUCUUUAUUAAAAGGACGUUCUUCAUUGUGAAAGGGGUCAUGAAAUAGGAAAUUAGAUACUCAAAAAGGGGCAAUCAAAGAACCAACAUGUCCACAACAACAUAUAUAGUCAACUUUAGCUUCUUAGUCCAAUUCAGGAUCUGUGUGUGACUCAAUCGUGUUGUCCAAUUUGGGAUCUUUGACUCAAAAGUAGUAGUCCAGCAUACUAAAGGAUUAGGGUCAUCUGCCAAGAGAACAUCCCCAAGUUUUCUAGAUGGAAUUGUGUUUAAUUUUUGUGUUUACGAAUCCAUUUGAGUUGGUCUAGCAGUUGGCAUGAGACUUUAGAGUGUGCCCUCUUAAGGUCUCAGUUCCGAUUUUCCCUGACCCCAUUUCAGUGAGUUAAAUUUAUGCAAAGUUACGCUUUAUCUUUGAAUAGAACUGUCGCAAAUGGACAGUAAAAUUAAACCUUUCGACUAAUUGACUCUUGAACCUAAAUAACAAAUUAUAAAUAAAAUAAAAAAAUCGUGUUCGAGAUAUAUGCGUUGAUCAAAUUACUACAGUUCUUUCCCAAAAUAAGAAAAGUGGCUGACAUCCCAAUUAUAGUCAAAUAACUAAUAUGUUCAAAGACAAAAAAAAAUAAAAAUGCAUACACAACACUGAUUUCUUUCUGAUAAUUUUUCAUCUCAUUAAAAUGUUACUAAGUUACUACAAAAUUACUUUUUGAAAAUCUCCCUUAAAUACUCAUACAUUACCAUCUUAAUUAAUUACCCCAAGUUAUUACUAACUCUACUAAAAUAACUCAUCACACCAAAAUCACUACAAUUCCCUUCAAUUCUAAGAUUGCUAAAAUACCCUCACUCAUCAAAUGACCAAAAUUCCCUUAAUCUUAAAAUGAUUAAAAUACCCUUUUCGUCUAAAAAUCCACUAAUCCCAAAUCAAACACACAAACACGCAAUUAAACAUAUAUAAUAAAUAAAUAAUUAAAUAAAUAAAUAUUUAUAGCGAAAAACGGGAUGUUACACAUAUUUGAUCUCUUAACUUAUUUGUUGUUUUCUUAAUGGUCCUUUAACUAAUUAACAUUAAGUUUUGGUCCCUUAAGUUAUUCUCCGCGAACUAAAUAAAUUCUCUCCGUCAAAAAUGUUAACCCAAUGUAUAAAGGGGAUACACAUUGUAAGUGGUCCAUCAAAGAUGUCGUUAAUUUGAUUAAUAUUAUCCGUUUGAUUUUUUUUCUUUCAAAAUGACAACCAUUAGACAAUGCAUCUAUACUAGAUGUAAUAGUGCACCACCAAGACCUACCUUUAUUCACCUUUCUUCAUCUUCUUGUCUCUUCCUCUUCUCUAUCUUCAUCUCCAUCUUCAAACAUUCAAAGCCAUAAGUGUGUCCUUUUUUAGAGAGAUUCUUAUAAUAUUAUACAUUUUUCUGGAAAAUUUUAUUAAAAAAAUAUGAAUUCUACAUAUGAGUUUACUUUAAAAGAGACACCAAAAGUGAAGAUGUACAAUUUCUGGGAGACCAUAAGUCGAAGAAAUUUUUUAGAGGGACUAAAAUGAAAAGAUGACAUAUUUAUAGGGACAAAAACAUAUUUAACCCUAUACAAAAUAAAUAAAUAUUUAAUAGAAAUACUGCAUUAUUUUGGGUAUUUUGAAAAUACACAUGAAUUUUUAAAAUUUAUCAUACCAACUUUCACCUAUAGAGACAUAAAAAUUUGUUUCAAAAGAUAUAUGAACACAUAAAAAUACUACAUUAAUGUUGAUAAUUUUUGCAUAUAAAAUAAACAAAUAUUGAAUAAAAACUCUACAUUAAUGUUGAUAAUUUUUAUUUAAUAUCUUUAACAUUUCACAAAACUAACAAUAUAAUUAGUUUUGUUAUAUAAUUACGGUAAUAUUAGCCGAUCCAUGGUUAUGCACAGGUCUAUUAUGAGUUUGCAGUAAAAAUGCAUACGGGUGAUUCUGUGUCAAAAAAGAUCCCAGCACCACCUCUUUUCGGUGAAAGAUGAAGAGAAACUUAGAGAUAAGAUGGAUUUUAGACGAUUAAUAUAACAUAUUACUCUAAUGUUUAAAAAAGAAAAUAAAAAAGUCAACUUAUAUAUAUAAUAAUGCAAUAAUAUUAAGAGUUACGACAAAUCUCAUUAAAAGAAAAGUGUGCAUUAAAUUCAUAAACCGAUAUUUGGAAACAUAAUUAGUCAAAAGAAAAAUAAAAUAAACGCAUCAUAAAGGGAUUGUGACGCAAAAGGAAGGCAUGCACCGGAGGAUGCAUGAAUCAUGACAAAGAGUACUUAGUAUUCAUUAACUCAUAUCAAAUUUACUUUUGCAUUAUUAGAGUUGGAUUCAAACCCAAGAUCUUCAAUUAAGCUUAAAAAAACCCUUAUCAUCUCAUCCAUGUGCUCAUGUGUGACUCAUAUCAAGUUUUAAAUGGAAGAGUUUGACACUAUAUUAAGAAACACCUACAUUUCUUAAACCACAUGCAUAGAAAAUCUACAUUUGUUAGAACACAUUGAAACAUACACACAAAUAGGAGAUAUCAGGUUGGAUCCCGAAUAACAACGAAAAAUAUCAAGCAUAACAAUGUACACAUUGUUAGGCUGGAUAGGUCUUAUGAACAACAACUAAAUAUGUCAUUUACUUAUGAGUAAAAAGACUUGUCAACAACAAUAACAACAAAGUCUUAUCUCAUUAUGUAUGGUCUGUUACAUGGAUCAAAUUAUGUCAUAACGUUAUAUCAUAAUUAAAUUUGGAUCCAACUCAUUAACCUCUAAAUCUUGCUAAUAGUUUCUCUUAUAAUUUUUCUAGGUCUUCAUAUACCUCUUUUGAUCCGACUCUACUUCAUCAGAUUAAUCAGACUAAUAAUAAUUUUUUUUCUCAUUAUAUAUAUAUAUAUAAUAAAUGAUAGAAAAUUAGUAAAAUACUUAAAAAAAGAUAAGAAAUAAUUUAAAAGUUACAAUUGUCUAUGGGAAUAUCUAUUAAGUCUUAAACUUGUUCACACACCACCAUCAAAUAUUUUUCAUUAAAAAUAUUCUUUUUCUUAUUAUAAAUAGCUAUUAAGUCUUCAACUUGUUCCACCAUCAAAUUGCCCUCCUCCCCCUUCCCCCUUCUCUCAUGGAAAAUGAUGAUUGGGAUCUCUUUUCUAUUGUGCGUAGCUGCAAAGCUAUCACCUAUACUGCUCCUGCCACCUUUUGCGAAACUGCAACGCCAACCCUACCAAUCACCACCAACACUAUCACAAAUAAUACCAUAUCCCCUCACAACACCACGCCAAAUUGCUUUGAUGAUUUUACACUUACCCUAGAAAAUAGCACAAUCCAAAUAUUCCCACUCAAACCAAAUGACUUCAUCGAACUAGACAAAUUGAUAAUAUGUUCCAAUCCCACAAAAAUUAUCCCUAUCUCUACUACAAGCGAUAUCCCAACCCCCUCAGUCACGACCACCACUAUCCCCACCUCGUCGUCCACUACCACCAUUAUCACCACCCCCUCGACUACUACCAUCCCUAAUCGCAUCACCACUGAUACCAUCACUAAUACUAGUUCUCAAGGAAUAUCAUAUCAAAAUUCUAUGUUUUUUAAUUUUCCAACACUCGUUGAACAACAACAGAUGCAACCAAGUGAGUUCACUGAGUUAGAAAAAUGGAUACUCCAAUUUAAUCCCACAACAACUAUACCAAUCUCCGCUAUCACUACUCCUAACCCCACUACCUCCAUUACCAGUACCCCCAUCAGCUUCACUGCCCCCAUAGCCACUAUCAACACCACCACCACCACUACCCCUAUCAUUCCGACCACCACCACCACCACAACCAUGAAUAACUCUGAGACAAAUGGAAUCAAUCAAUAUUCAACCGUUUCUAAUUUUCCAAUGGUUGUCGAACAACAACAGGUUCAAGCAAACCAAAAUCGAGUGUCUGUUUUCAACUCUAUUUCCUGCAUUAAGACGACAACCACCAAUUUUCAUAAUGAACUCAACCAUCCACUAGUUCCACAAGAACCCCAUAGAAAUCACAAUCAGCUACCGAUUCUACUACCCCAAACCAGUUCUACAACUUUACUAAAUACAAAUCCGAAACAACAAAAAAUUAAAUCAGGAAAAAGGUAAAGAAUUUAUUCGUACUAUUUAAUAUAUUUUAUAUGUAAAUAUAUUUUUAUUUUAUUGAAAUAAUUAAAAUAUUUUUACAUAACCCAUUUUUACCGAAAAUCAUCUUACCUUUCUUUUCUUGUAGAAAAAAUAAUAACCAAAUGACAGUGGUGAACUAUGUGAAGGCAAAUAAGAUUUCAGAAGAUUCAUGGAGAUGGAGAAAAUAUGGACAAAAACCCAUUAAAGGAUCUCCACAUCCAAGGUUUUUAUUCAUUCAAAACUCUACCAUUAUCAUAUUUUUCUUUUUUCUCAUAUUAAAUUUUUUGUUACCUAAUACACACACCCACACCCAAACCAAGGGUUUUAAUUAGUGACCACAUGCAUUUUGAUCAUUCCCAUUGAAAAUAAUUUUAGUUAAAUGUGACAAAUAUAGUCUUAAUAGCGGUUGCGUUUUCUUUUCAAUUCCAAAAGAAUAAAAAAUUGUUACUCUCUUCUUUUCAGUGAGAGACACAUUUGCAAAAUAUAUUUUUUCUCACAAAAUAAAUGUCACUUUCAAUUUUUUUAUGUAACAAGAUUAGUUUUUAUAUUAAUAUGUUUGUAUAUGUAUCAUCUUUUGUUUUUUUAAUUACAGUAUCAUCUUUUGUUUAGUAAAACAAAAGUAUCAUUUUUUGCUUUUAACCUAUUUGAUUUUUUGUUUUUGUUUUUGACUAUCACAAAUAUUCCCUUUUGUUCUUUAUUGCUUGGUAUUUGUUUUAGUUCGUGCAAUUUUGUUUUAUAUUAAAUUUGGUUCCUUUAAUAUUAAUUUUUAACCCUUACAUUAAUGGGCUGAAAUCAAAUAUUUAAUCCUUGUGAGGUUAGCUCGGUUGGUAGGGACAAUGCAUAAUAUAUGUAAUGUCCGACGUUCGAAUUCUGGAUACCACCAAAAAAAAGAAAUCAAAUAUUAAAAAAAUUUAAUAUAUUUAAAAAAAUUAGAAAGACUAAAUUUUUAAAAAAUUAUAUAUUUUUAGGGAACAGAAACAUAUUUAAAUCUCACUUAUUUUUCAGACUUGUAAAAUUUAAUGAAUAUUAAGUGCAUCAUUCACAUGUCUAUAUCUUUCACUUUAGAAUUGUAAAACUCCUAUUUUCCCUUACAUUUACAACAUUUUUUAAUGUCUUAUUUCAUGUAUCGUGGGAUUGUAAAGAUAUUUUUUGAAAGCAUCGCCUAUUUAUAUAGUAUUUGUCUAUAUGAUUUUAGCCAUUAAAAUGUUACGAUUUGGUGAUAUUUGAUAUAAAAACAAUGAAUGAAUGACUUUUCAGGAGCUACUUUAAAUGUAGCAGUUUCAAUGAUUGUUUAGCAAAAAAAUUAGUGGAAAAAAUAAACACUGGAGAGGACACUUAUGAAGUGACAUAUAUAGGAGAACACAAUCACAAAAAACCAGCAAAUAAUCGGAAUUCCAUUGUUGGUACCUCCUGCUGGAAUAUGUCAUCAAAUUCAGGAUUAGAUGUUGUUCGAGAAGUUGGAUGUUGCUCAAAUGUUAGAAACUUGGGUUUUCCUGGUGAAUCAAACAUGCCUUAUCUCAAAAAUGAAGUUAUCAAAAAUGCUGGAAAAUUGGAUUCAUCUGACAUGAUAAUGGUGCCGUUUGAUGAGCUAGAGAGAGAAAAUUCUAAUAUUUUUUCAGAUGAAUCAAAAAUCCCUGAUAGAGAAGCAAAAUUGAUUGAAAGCUCGAAUGAAGACGACAUUUUAAUCCCAAACAUGACAAAUAUGUUAGAUGAUUUCUUUUUGAAUUUCAACAACAUCAACAAUGGUUCUCCAUUCUGCUAGUUGGGUUUAACCCAAAUAAUUUAUCCGGUUUGAGUAUAUUUAGUUUUGAGUCGUCCUCUAAGUAAUAUAUGAUUCAAUAAAUCUUCUAAGUAAUGUAAUAUGACACAAAUUAAUAUAUGAAUCAAUAGUUUUGAGCCAUCCUUUGUAGUGUGAUCAAUCGCCAAAUUUAAUUUAAUUAUUUAAUUUAAAUAGUUUCAAUUUAAUAAUUUAAUAAUAAUAAAGUGUGUGUUUUUUAGCAUAAUAAUAAAGUGUGUUUAUUAUUGUUAACAAUUGGUGAAUAGUUAUGGCCUUAAUCCUUUUGUUUUAAUUUAUUUUGAAAAUUAAAAAAUACAGCCGGCAUGUCAUUGCUCUCGUUUGAAUUUUGUAUGUACAUUCUCUUAUCAUACACUCCCUUGUAUGUAAAACGAUUAUUUUUUAAAUGUAAUAUAAUUAGAAAGUAAGAAGGAAAAAGUUAUACAUAGCGUGACAACAUCCUUAGAUUAGAGGUCAGCUUGGAGAAGCAUGACCAUUCAUAAGAUUAGUUAAGAUUCUCUUACCGACUUGAGAGAAUUAUGUGUUAGGUGGCUAUAACCAUCUCACAUUUAUUUAUAUAUUAUGCAUGUUUGUAUGUUUUGAGAGACGUUUGCAUGUGAUACAUAAGCCGUGGUGAGGUGAGAUUAAAAUCCUUCAAAAAAAUUAAGCUGAUUGUUUUCUAAAGGAUAACAUUCUUCAGGAUUAAUAUCAAAGUGUGUAAGUUCGCUUCUGUGACGUACAUUUUCUAUACUAAAGUUACAAUGUGGUAACUUCUAAGAUACCAAAUUUGUAUUCCUUAGAUCUAAAUUAACAAAAUUAUUUUAAUAAGACAAGAUUAAAGUAGCAACGGGUUGGGGGAAAAUUUAUACGAUAGAUAAACGAAGGAAUUACUCAACCUAAUUGAUUUGAAAGUUGUAUAAGAUAAAAUAUAGAGGAGUUCCUAUCUAAAUAACUAAAUUUUGAGGGAUCAUCCCUCAGACUCAAAAAUGAAGUGAAAUCUGUAUUGUAAUGCACUAGAAAAUACUCCUUGAGAAGGAUUAGUUAUAUAUAACAAAUUUUUUCGAUAGCACCGAAACUUGAAGAUUUUCCUUAAACGUGAGAAGAAACUGUAUGUUCUAUCUUAAUGGACCAACUCCUGAAGAGGAACUACCCACUUCUACUUUAAAGGAUGCAAGAGAUGCUUAUAAGAAGCAUGUUGACGACGCUCUAGAAUUUUGUUGCAUCAUGCUAGCAACCAUGAACUAUGAGAUUCAGAAGCAACACAUGUGACGCCUCAAACCCUAAAUAACAUAUUUAAAGUUUAUUAGACUUUCCAUCCGUGCGGCGCACGGAUCAUAUACAUUGUAGAUGUAGCAGACAAAAACAAAUCUCAAUGCAUAUCAAAGAGAAUGAAAUAUGUGGUCCCAAAUAUACGCAGAUGUUGGAAUUCGAACCUCAUACACCACACUUAUUCACCUUAAAAAUAUUAAUUUUUAUCAAUCGUGUGUUACUUCAUUCUUUUGUUAAAAUUAUAUGUCAAUGUUAUAUUAUUGGUAUGUUACUUCAUAUUUUUUUUUUUUGACAAAAUGUUACUUCAUUCUUUUGUAAAAAUUAUAUGNNNNNNNNNNNNNNNNNNNNNNNNNNNNNNNNNNNNNNNNNNNNNNNNNNNNNNNNNNNNNNNNNNNNNNNNNNNNNNNNNNNNNNNNNNNNNNNNNNNNNNNNNNNNNNNNNNNNNNNNNNNNNNNNNNNNNNNNNNNNNNNNNNNNNNNNNNNNNNNNNNNNNNNNNNNNNNNNNNNNNNNNNNNNNNNNNNNNNNNNNNNNNNNNNNNNNNNNNNNNNNNNNNNNNNNNNNNNNNNNNNNNNNNNNNNNNNNNNNNNNNNNNNNNNNNNNNNNNNNNNNNNNNNNNNNNNNNNNNNNNNNNNNNNNNNNNNNNNNNNNNNNNNNNNNNNNNNNNNNNNNNNNNNNNNNNNNNNNNNNNNNNNNNNNNNNNNNNNNNNNNNNNNNNNNNNNNNNNNNNNNNNNNNNNNNNNNNNNNNNNNNNNNNNNNNNNNNNNNNNNNNNNNNNNNNNNNNNNNNNNNNNNNNNCAUUAGGGUUAAAACAGUAAAAUUAUGCAAUAGGGUUUAGGUUAAAAUUAGGGCUUACUUUAAUAUAUAAGAAGAUAAGAAGAUUAGGUGAGAGCAUUAGGGUUGUUCAUGAAAAUAGGAGAUUAGGUGUGAACAUUAGGGUUAAAACAGUAAAAUUAUGCAAUAAAGUUUAGGUUAAAAUUAGGGCUUACAUGUUAACUGAAGAUAUGUAAAAAAGAUAGUAUAACGAGGAUAUAAAUAUAAGUUUAAAAAAUUAUUUUCAAAAGGUAAAGGAUAUCACGACCCAUUUACAUAAUCUUCGAUUGAAGAUUUCAAAUUUCAUUAUAAUAAAUUUUGGCUUAAUAACUGAUGACAAAUCAUCUUACGUUAUUCUUAGCAUGUUUUUCAGUAGGUUUUACCAGGAAAACAGAGGAGUAUUAGAGUAAUUGCCUAUGAUUUCGGGACAUCGGGACAUUUGUAAUGUUUUCUAUAUUUGAGUAUGUAAUCAGAGUUUUACACUGAAGUGCAUGGGCGCUUCGGAAAAGGCCUUGGCACAUAAAUGCGGUUUAGAAAGCUCCUGGCGCAUGGUUGCCUAAGGCAUAAACGCCCAGGCGCAUGCCUAAAGCGCGUGGUGCAUGUUGACUUGCGAAGAAAAUCACUUUUUGUGACUUUUUCGCUCUUGGAAAACCCAUACUUAAUUUAGACCAAGUCAGGUUAAAACUUUCCCUAUAUAAAUAUCGCCUUCCUCAUUCAUAAUUUCUCGUUCAUAAAUGGAGCAGUUCAAGAGGAAGGCGAUUCUAUCUUCUCCUAUCUUUUCUAGGGUAUUUUUUUUUUUUGUUUUUUGUAUCUUGUAUUUAGUUACCAUGUGUAACUAAGUAGUUAUAGGUUAGAGUUAUAAGAUUAACUCCUAUUUAUUUUUUUGGAUAAUUAUUUAAUUAUAUGUCGUUUAUUUAGUUAUUUUAUUUUCGCUAUUUAGUUUUACUAGUCUAGAUUUAUUUAUGUAGUAGACGCAACCCUAGAUUAUAUACUUAGGUUGUAACAUGGCCUAACAUUAUUGUUACUAUAUGGAUGUUUAUAUCUUUAAAUUUAUGUCCUUAUACUAAUAACUAUCUAGUAAUUAAUUAAUAGCUAGUGAAAGAUAAAACGAGUUGACCCUAGUAGUAAGUACUUAGGAGGUGACAUUAAUAAUAUUGAGUAAAAUCUACUGAACCUAGGUGGUAACUAGUUAGAGAUUAAGGAAACAAUCGGUUGCUUGAAGGAAAUAAUUUGAACUUAAUAUAACCGUUCUCCUCGACCCUUGGUAAGGUAGACGUUGAUAGGGCAUACCUUUUUUGUAGAACUAUUGAGUGGGAGAGUGUGUGUUGAGAUACUUAAGAUUCAUGGAUGGGCUAACUUAAUGGAACUUUGGCACUUCAUAGCCUUAGGAAAAACCGGAAGGCCAAUUUAAGUUCAUGCUUCAAUUACCUUUGAAUUUACAAGACCCCACACGUAAAGAUCACCUUGUAUAAUCAACUAGAAGAGUAAGCCCCACAUGUAAGGAUCACCAUGCGAUCAUCAGGUGCAACUUGACGACUGACUAAGUUAGAAACGUCCAACAACCUCAUCACUUACAUAGUUCACUUAGACUAAUUAGAUGCGACAUAUAUGAUAAUUAAAUAUCCAACAAAUAAAUAGGGGGGAUUUGAAAAAUGCUCUAAUCGCUGUUACUUUUCUACAGCUUAAAACAAGUAACUUGCUCUGUUUUAAAUAGAUAAAAAUUGCAAAUCUCUUAAUCCUUAUCUCUUUAUUUUAUUGUCAACUUCAAAUAAGUAAGAGGAGUUAUUUGGACAAAACUAUAAUCCCUAUGGAUACGAUACUCACUUAUCACUUUUUUAUUUGGUAAACGAUUUGAUACACUUGCCUAAUCCGACCAUCAAUACCUAACUUUGGAAAAUCACAAAAGUUUUACCAAUUUAUUUAUAGAUACACGCGUAAAAUACAAUACAUUCGUUAAAACUCGAUGUCACCUAUUAAAGAAAACGAUGUCUUAAUAACAAAAGAGGAACAUAAUAAAUUUUUUAAGAGAAGCUUUCACUUUAGUACAAGAUAUUUAAACAUAUCCUGAAAUAACAACAAUUUUGCAAACGGAGGUCCAAGGCAAACAAACACAAAUAACAAAAGGGUGAAUUUCGAAAACAUAUAACAAUAUCAAACAACUGAGAAGAACACGCAAGAAAUCAAAUUAAAACCAUAUCAUAUGAUCACAACACAGUAUUCAAAACCUUAAAGAAUAUAAUAUAUCACCUAAUUCCACUUUGGUCAUAGAACCAUCAGAGCAUAACACUCAAAAUUUUCAUGAAUAUAACAUUAUAUUUCAAUUCCAAAUAGUCACAAUAAAAUAAUUAAAUAAUAAUGUCAUAUCCUAAUUUUGGAUCUAAGAUCCCACUUUCACACUCCCUUUGACCCGAAAUAUUCUUUGAUUUUUCAAAGAAAAUUUCGGCAGAGAAGUAUUUUAAAAUACCUCAUUUUUGGUUAUUUUUUGGGCCCACUUUUUUAUGUUAUUAUUAGUCUUUUUUAUUUAUUUUAUUUCCAUCUCUUAUUUUAUUUUUAUUUCCAUCUCUUAUUUUAUUUCCAUCUUUUAUCAUGUUCCUAAUUGUAUUGCUCAUGUUACAUCCUAUUGAAAGUGAAAUGAUAUUAGUUUCGUUUCGUGAAAAAUAAAACACUAUAUUUAAUCAUGUGUUUUUAUUAUGUCAGUUUUUUCCGAGAAAGAAAAUCUUUCCAUUCAUUUUGAUUGAACAAGUCAAAUGCAACUAUGAACUUAUUUUUUCUUUUAUAUGUAGCUGUCACUGUUGCAACAUUUUUAAGAAAUGAUUUAUAUGUAGAUGGUCAUUGACGCAAUGUCCAAGCUUAUCGUUUCUGAUUUCUUCACAACUCUAAGCAUGCCUCCCAAUUUCUAUAUGUUUCCUCUCUUCUUCCUCUCAUUUAUUUUCUUCAUUUUUCCUACUAAUUCAGUACACUUCAAAAUUUCUAGUUUUCAUCCUGAUGAUGGUAUUGUUGUCUGCCUAGGAUCUGCAAGAGCUAGUGACGGACAAAUUAAUUUCAACAUAAAUGACGAUUAUUCAAGUCGAGUUGGAAGGGUCGAGUAUGCCAAAAAGGUAUUGCUAUGGGAAUCAGCCACAGGUCAACUCGCUGACUUUAAAACUCAUUACACUUUUAUCAUUGACACUCAAAAUCGUACUACAUAUGGUCAUGGAAUUGCGUUUUUCCUUGUUCCGGUGGGAAUUGAAAUUCCACCCAAUUCUGCUGGUGGCUUGAUGGGCCUAUUUAACACCACAACAAUGGUUUCAUCAUCUAGUAACCGAAUUGUUCAUGUUGAGUUUGAUUCUUUCGCAAAUAGUGAAUUUAGCGAGACAACAGAGCAUGUGGGAAUCAACAAUAAUUCAAUCAAAUCAUCAAUAUCAACACCUUGGAAUGCAAGUUUACAUAGUGGAGACAAUGCUGAGGUAUGGAUUAGCUACAAUUCUAAAACCAAGAAUUUGACUGUAUCUUGGGAAUAUCAAACUACCCCUAGUCCUCAAGAAAAAACUAAUCUUUCAUAUCAAAUUGAUUUGAUGAAGGUCCUACCUGAAUGGGUAACUGUUGGAUUUUCUGCUGCAACAGGUUCCGUUGGAGAAUUAAGUAAACUACUGUCAUGGGAAUUCGAAUCCAGUUUGGUAAAUAGUGAUGACAGUAUAUAAAAAAAAAACAAGAUUACUUUUGAUGUUCGGUGGGGUUGUAGUAGUGGGAGUGGGAGCAAUUGCAGCAUAUGCAUUACUUUGGAGAAAGACAAAGAGAAGAAAAAAAGAAAAGGAAGAGGCUAUGAGUUUAACUUCAAUGAAUGACGAUCUUGAAAGAGGAGCAGGGCCAAGGAGGUUCACCUACAAAGAACUUAAUUUAGCCACUAAUAACUUCUCUAGGGAUAGAAAGUUGGGUCAAGGUGGGUUUGGAGCUGUAUAUAAAGGUAACUUUUUUGAUCCAGAUUUACCGGUUGCUGUGAAGAAAAUAUCGAAGGGAUCUAGACAAGGGAAGAAAGAGUAUGUUACUGAAGUUAAAGUCAUUAGCCCAUUGAGACACCGGAAUCUUGUGAAGUUGUUAGGUUGGUGCCAUGAAAAAGGUGAGUUUCUUCUUGUUUAUGAGUUUAUGCCUAACGGUAGCCUGGAUUCUCAUUUAUUUGGUAAAAGAAUACCUCUUUCUUGGAGUCUAAGGCACAAAAUAGCACUUGAAUUGGCAUCUGGUGUGCUUUAUUUACAUGAAGAAUGGGAAAAAUGUGUGGUACAUAGGGAUAUUAAAUCAAGUAAUGUUAUGUUAGAUUCUAGUUUCAAUGUCAAGCUUGGUGAUUUUGGGUUGGCUAAAUUAAUAGACCAUGAGCUUGGGCCUCAAACAACAGUGAUUGCUGGAACCUUAGGAUAUUUGGCUCCAGAAUAUAUAAGUACAGGUAAGGCUAGCAAAGAAUCUGAUGUCUAUAGCUUUGGGGUUGUCGUCUUGGAGAUCACAACUGGAAGGAAAGCCGUUGAAGUUAUGGAGGACAAAGAUGGAGAUAAGGGAUUGAUUGAGUGGGUUUGGGAUCAUUAUGGAAGAGAAGAAAUACUCGUGACCAUGGAUGAGAAUUUGCGAAAGGAUUUCGAUGAGAAACAAGUAGAGUGUUUGUUGAUUGUUGGAUUAUGGUGUGUUCAUCCUGAUGUUAGUCUAAGACCAUCGAUUAGACAAGCAAUCCAAGUGCUUAAUUUUGAGGUUGACAUGCCAAAUUUGCCACCAAAGAGACCAGUUGCAACCUAUCAUGCUCCUCCACCACUCUUGAGCUCUGUAAAAACUUCCAUAACUACAAGCCUUCAAGACGGUCGUUAAUUGAUAAUUCAUCAAUGAACUCAUUUUCUUGUCCUUGCUUUUCUUCCAUUAUUUAUUUGAAGUUUGAAUUUGAAAAUAGAGUGUUUGUAAAAUAUAUAUUAUUAUUUGCUUUCGGUCUCUGUAAAUAUAUUAUUUGUUGUAUUUAUUCUUUGUAGUUUGCUUUGUUUCAAAUUAGGGUAUCCUAAUAAUGAGAUAGUGUGAUUUUAAUCCGACACUUUUAUUGAGCGAUUUUGAUUCUUUAAUAUAUGAAAAAUCAUAUGCAUCGUACAGGCAACACUGUUUUGUUAAUGUGUUAUGUGGUGAUCUUUCUAUUUUUUCAAACACCAUCUCCUAUAGAUUUUCCAGGUGACAGGUUCUUGAUCACAUGAGCAUCCAAGAGCCAUUCAAAUCUUAUUUCCCUUUGACAUGAUGAUCAUUUGUGCUAUCUAAUGAACUUAAACUUGGCAAGACACUUAUAUUAGGUGUGAAUUUCAAUUGUAUGGAUCUCAUGUUAAUUGUUGUUGUAAGACCUAGUUUGGGGACAAUAUCUAACACCAUUAGAUAAAGGGUCAUGCAAACAAGUGUCCUUAAGACCUUUGUUAAGGUAAUCAAAAUUAGUUGCUUUAUAUUAAAAACAACGAUUUUAAAAUUUUAUAUAAGUUGACUUGACCACUUUUUAUCAUUUUCCAACACAAUAUUUAUAUUUUUAUUCUCUUAUCCAAUGCAUUAAGGGCAUUUUUUAGCAUUUUCCUUAGAUAAAAUAAGUGUAAGUUUCCAUUGAAGUUGAGUAGCUUAAUUGGCUUUAGAAACUUGGAAGUAAAGUUUGGUUUAAAAUUGUUUCAUUCAAAUUCUUCCAUUAGAACUUUUCUUAUCCACUCUAACCAAGGUCGUGUUUGGAUUAGCUUAUUUUAGAGCUUAUGCAAAUAAAUAUGCAUUUAUGUAUUAUUUAUAAGUUUGUUAAUGUAGUUUAUGAAAAAACUGUUUAUGAAGGUAUACCUUUUGUUAGUGAGAACUUAUGAAUUAAGAUAAAAACUUAUUUAUUUGCAUAAGCUCUUUUUCAUAAGCUCAAAAUAAGCUCAAUCCAAUCAGGUCCCAAAUCAUUUGGUUUUUGAUCCUUACGGUUUUACUUACGCAUGGGUAAUAUUGCUCUAGCAUUAUUAUUUUAUCUAAUUCUGAUAAAAUUUGACUGAUUUGAAUUACGUUUUUUUUUUUCCAGUAUUCUUCCAUUACAACUUUUCUUCCAAUUGAUAAAAAUUUGCUCAGUGCCAAGCCCAGGGUAAAAGGAGAGGGUCUUGUUAAGUUUGGGCAACAAAUGUAAAGGCCAGGUCGUUGCUAAGAAGCAACAUGUAUAGCUCGAGUAAAAUGUCAAUGAACAAGGGUUGUUGCAUUCCCACCUGCAGUGAAAAAUAAGCAACGGUUUCCACAUUUUCGUGAGCGGAUACGGCUAAAGAAGUUAGUUCAUGAUAGUAAGAUACUUUUCGAAACUUGAAAUAGAAGAACCUAUAGAAAUAGUGGACACUGCGAUUUGGAGGAGGAUCAAUUUUAUGUUCCUACAAAAAACUAAGUGGGUGGGUGAAAAAGCAAGAGAAUUAGAUAGCUAAAGAUUUACGCUUUGGUACACGAAAAAAGUUAGAUCGAGAGAUCGGGUAGGAAUUAUUGUUGACAAGGAGUGGAAGAAGCAUGUUUUGGAGGUAAAAGGGGUAGGAGAUCGGAUCAUAGCUAGCCAUAAAAUUUGUAAUGGAACAAGAUACAUUUAAUGUCAUUAGUUCUUACGCACCUUAGGUUGGGUUAGCAGAACACCUUAAAGUAAAGUUGCGGAAGGAGUUAGAAGGAUUAUUUUAGGAUAUACCACUAAGAGAAAAGAUUUUUCUAUGAGUGGAUAUAAAUUGGCAUGUAGGGAGUGUAUCAAAUUGUUUUGAGGGCUUGCAUUGAGGGUAUGGCCUUAGGGCAUUUAAUGCAUAUGUAAUCCCCUAUUGGAUUUCUCGCCGGCUUUUGAUCUUACUAUAGCGAAUACCUGCUUCAAUAAAAGGGUUGAACCUUUUAUCACAUGCAAGAGUGAGUUGGCAUGUUUUUAGAUAUUUUUUUUUUCUUAUUACGAGAUCAGACAGUAAGAUAUGAUUGGAUUGGAAAGGCAUCCCUAGAAAUAGUUUGGGUACUCAACAUGGAGUCUAGGUUACAGAGUUAAGGAUCAUAUGAGGUGUGAAGAGAAUACACCACAAGGAAUCUCCAAAUAUCAAGUGGUGGCGUUUGAAGGGUGAAAAAUAAAGGAUUUUUCAACACAAUAUCUUAGAGGGAGGUUUCAGUCAUGUACAAGGAAUCACAAAUGAUACGUGGAAUAAGAUGGCACAUGAUAAUUGAAAAGGGGCAAAAGAUACAUUGGAGUUGACAAUUAUUAUUGUCAGAUGCAAGAACACGGGGUAAAAUAAGUGUUAAAAAUGAUCACAUAGUAACGGGAGUUGAACCCACAACUUUACAAACGAGUCAACUACUUAUUAGGCGAGUCAACCAUCGUUUAACACGUAUUGUAUAUAUACUAUAUUUUAUACGAAAUUUACUUUAAAUUUAUAUCAACUUAUAUACUGAAUAACUUAAAUAUACCCUAUUUUAGUGUGAAAUGUAUGAUUUUUUGUGUAAAUUUAUUUUUAAUUUAAUUUAAAAUAAUAUAUUUUUUUAUUAAACUUUUAUAAAUAUGUUAAUUUUGUGUGCUUAGCACAGGUAUCACUCUAGUUAGAAUCAAUUCUCCUCAACUAUGAACUAUUAUCCAUUCUCCACACGAUUUCACUUUUUUUAACGAAAUUCUCCGCAUUAUGUCACUUAAUAGAUUCUAAUUAUUUUACUCGCACUAGCAGUUUUGUCACUCACUAAAUCAAUGAUAUGUAACAAUAAUACAACAACAGGGUGGCAUUUAAAUGCCACCAAUGCAACAGGGGACUAUCAUACUUAUUAUCAAAGAUAUCACAAGUGAAUUAUCAAAGCAAAUUAUUUUUAAGCCAAUGGGAUAGGGAACACAACCAUCCGUUUGGAACAAACAAUAAGACUAUACAAUUGACAGAGAAUACAUUUUUAACAGCAUUAUGACAAAUACAAUCAAGUUACAAUCACUUCUACAGGGAAAAUAAAUCACUUUUUACCAAGCUUUAGCUUUCUUGCUGCAUAAACAAAAAACAAGAGUUGGGAAUAAGCAGUGAACCCACUAGAAUAACUAAGUACUUAAUCAACAUCUUCAUAAGCCAUGGAACUUUCAAACCACGAUAUUUAGGGAUUGUUGCGAAUUCGAUGAAAAAUCACACCAAUAACAACUUGAUGUGUGGAGCAAGGGAUAAUCAAGCAACCAAAACAAAGUGUAUGAAAAAAAUAAAUACAAGCCAAAAGUAGAAAACAACGGCGAGAAGAACACAAAGAAGAGAAGAACACAAAAGAAUUUGUUGACCCAGUUCGGUCCAAAUUGACCUAGUCUGGGGAGAGAGCAGCCCUCCGAUCCACUAUAUGAUGAGUAACGUUACAAAGAGAAAUCAAUGGGUUGCAAGAAUAAGUCUACCACCUAAUUCUACCCAAAGCCCCAAUCUCUUCCCGUAACCAAGAGAUUCAAUCCUAAUAGUGUUUCCCAAUGUGAAUCAACCCUCAAACCCUAGUGUUUGUUCCAAAGAGUCAAACUCUAUACAAACCCUAGUUUUGUUGUUGCCAUUCUAAACCCUUGUUUCAGCCCCCUCUAUCUCUCUCUCAAAGUUUAGCCUGAUACAAGGUCUAUAUUUAUAGUAAAAGUAUAACUCAUAAAUUUGGAACAAAUAUUACACUGAAGAUACGUUUUUUUUUCUCCUUCAGUGAAAGAAUAUUUGCAUCAAAAAUAUAAUAUUCACUUUCAAAAUAUAUUUGCAUCAAAUCGUUCUUCAUACGAUACAAAAAUAUAUUUAUUGUCCAUAAAUAUAUUUUCAGCACAAAAUAUAUUUGAAACAAAUCUUUUAUAUUUUUAGCAAAAAUAUUCUCCAUCCAUCAAAUUUUGAGUCAUACUACAACAGGGUGAAAAGUUUGGUAAAACAAAAGAAAUUAAAAACAAGAAAAGAAAAAGAUGUAGAAGUUCCCUAAAAAAAAAAGAUGAGCAAAUAGUACAUGAUUUUUAAUAAUAUAGAACAACCAUAAUGUGUUAACGUCAUAAAGUGAGAAUAUUGACACUGUCGUUUUGGGUGAAAUAGGACAUGAUUUUUUAAUUUCAAUGAGCAUUUUAAAUCUGUUAUUUUAGCCACGGUAAUUAGUCAUGAAUCCUCCCCUGUUUGUAUGUUCUAAAUAUUUGUCAUAUUUUUAUUAUUGUGAACUGAACUGCAAUAUAAAAAAAAAUAAAAAUGCUAAGAGACCUAAUUGUCCAUUUUGAAAUGAUAACAUAAAUAAAAAAGACUAUUUAUUUUCCCACUUCUCACGCGCCCUGCAAAAAUGACAAAAAUACCUCUGGUUCGGAUUAUAUAAUCUAAACCAGAUUGUUAGCAUUUUGCAGAUUAUAAAAUCCGAAAACUUAGAAUAUUUCAACUAUAAACUGCGAAAACUUAGGAUUAUAAAAUCCGAAAACUUAUGAUAUUUCGAUUAUUAACUUGGGAUAUAAACUUAUCAGAUUGUUUGGAUUAUAAAAUCCGAAAACUUACUAUCUGUGAUUUUUUGUGUGAAAAGAGGUGAAGUGAAGAAUGAAGGAAUUUGUUGAAGAUGCAAACCUAUUUACAGCCUAAAACAUGUCCUAGAUCAUAACUACGGUCAAAUAAAACGUUUUCCACCGUCCAACCGUCCAAAAAUUCAUUAAAUACACCACUAACCGUCUAAAACUUUGGUGAAACGCCGCCAUCGAAAAAAGCUGAGGGUUUUCAGAUUAUAUAAUCCGAACCUGUCUAAAAAAAAUUCAGAUUAUAUAAUCCAAACAAACUUAGACUGUGUUUUUGGAGGGUUUUCAUGGAUGAUGACAUGAAAAUAAUAAUUAAAAGAGGCAUAAAAAUAUAAGUAAACAUCUUAAAACAACAUAAACAACAUAAUAUUCUAGGAUGGUGUUCGAAGAGGUGCUUUUGAACUUGAUCCUGCAGGCCUGCCAACUGAUAUAUUUCGAUCGGCAGCCCAACUGGAUCAAGUUCAUAAAAACCUCUUCGGGAUUAGAUUUGCAACUAGAUCAAGUUCAAAAUUUCAUCAUGCUUUGUAUCUAUCUAUAUAUUUUUGACAGCAUGUCGAAGAUCUUCAUCAUUCAUUCAAAUAAAGAGCUAUCUAUUUGCGACCGCAUGAGAGAGAUCUUCAACACAAUGACAACAAUUUCCAUGUUGUUUUUGUGUGUGUUGCUGGUAAUGAUAACAUAAACACUUAUUUAUAGAGGUAUAUGGGCGUUGCGGACCACAGAAACUAUCGGUGCAAUGUGGACCACAUAAAAGAAUCUUAUGCUCAAGGAAUUUAGAUUAUAUUAUCUGAAUUGCACUUACACCCUAAAAAAUUAUGUUUAAUGAAUAAUCUUCAAAUUUUAGCGUUUAAAUGAACAUCUUUAGCGUAAAGUAAAACAUAAUGAAAAUUUAAAGAAUAUAUAUAUAUUAUUUAAAACAUAAUAAAACAACUUAAUUCAACAAUAUAUAACUAACCAUAGAUAAAACAUAAUUCGACAACAUAAAACACAUAAUAAAAUCAACAUAAAACACAUAAUUAAAUAAAACAUAGCUUAUCAUCACAAAUAAGCUAAAUUAAUGUCUUCCUAUGGUGCGUUGAAUAGUGCCCUGAUCUCUUCGUAGUUCCUAGGCAGGAUCAAACUUUUCUAAAUUUGUAAAAACAGAUCUGACCAACAAAGCGUCCAACUCGAUCGGCCCUCUAUUACUAUACUGACCAAAGAUUGAGAAUAUGGUUCUCACGUCGUCGUUCAUGAGCUUCAUCCGGGUGAACCACACACUCCUCGCUGAGUCGGUCGAUGGACGUCGAUACUCAACAUAAUCCACCCUCCGUGUGUCUUUGUAGUUGAGUUGGCGGGUAAUUUGAUCCAAUUGACCCUUCAACCCAGAUAGGGUGACAUCAGUGUGAAUUCUGAACAGAUGAGGUGGUUUGCCCCCCGUUGUAGUAAACUGCAGCUAGCUUGGUGUUUUGAUAAAGACAAAGUUUUCCAUGGUUUUUUUUUUUUUUUUUUGUGGUUCACCUAUUUAUAGAGGUAUCUGGGCGUCCUGGACCACAUAAAAUGCCAGUGUAAUGUGGACCAGAGAAAAAAAAUCAUGUCUUAAACAUUUUCGGAUUAUAAUCUGAAAUGUCCCUCACCCAACAUAAGGCACGAUGUUUCCCUCAUUUUCACCCAGUAUCGAAUAAAUUCAGAUUCUAUAAUCCGAAAACCAUGGGCAUGAUUUUGGAUUAUAUAAUCCGAACCAAGUAAGUUUCUUGCCCGGUAUUCUGCACCACAUAAAACACAUUUUCAAAAGUUUUUACCAACAUUAAUGACUUGUAAAACCCCAUUGAAACAAGUUUUUUGACUCAACAUUAAGUGUAGUUACACUCUAUGCACAAUUUUUUCCUAUAAAUAGUCUUCAAACUUUCACCAUUUCUCACACCGUCAUCUCACACUCUCUCCUCUUCUCUUCCUCUUCCUUCUACAACAAUGUGAUUCCAUCGUUGGUCUUUCAUAAAAAGAGGCUACUUUGGAAACUUAGGGAUUGUAUGAACGGUCAAUAAGGAUGGCAACGCGCUGCAAAGAAGUGCAGUUUGUUUGGGUGUUAGGUUGAUCUGUCUGGGUGCAAGGAUGACCCUCAAGGUCUCUUUCGCCCUUGAAAAGAAACAACCCUUACCCCAGCACCCCCCCCCCCCCCCCUCAACAUCUCUUUCUCUUUCCCUAUCCCCUCCUCCUUUCCUCCCCAUGAGCUUGCGCCACUAGUUUAGCUUCCCCGCCCCCUCCAUCUUCUUGUGCUGCAGAUUUAGUUUUACCAAUAUCAUAAAUUAGCUUGAAGUGUUUGAAUAUUCUAUGUAAUAAGCUUUAAGCUUCAACUUUAUUAUAAAUGUAUUGAUCUAAUAAUAAAAUGAGAUUUUAUGUGUAUCAUUUUGUCCUUUUAUUUUAUGAUUUUUGCAUCUAAAUAAUAUAACAUAAACCAAAGUCUAAUUAAAAAUCCGGUAAUAAAAGUCAUUUUCGGAUUAUAUAAUUCGAAAAUUUCUUGAAAUCAUGUUCGGAUUAUAAAAUCUAAACCAAGGGUAUUUUGGGGGAAAAAAUAGGGUGCGUGAGAAACACAUAAGGUGGAAAAAGUAAUAGUAAAAAAAAGCGCAAUCUUUUUAAUGGUGUGGUUCAUGCACGAAAUUGUCUAGAUUUGUUUUUCAAAGAAACAGAUUUUUUUUUAAGGACAAAAGUCGAUCUAUAAAAUUUUCUUACACUUAAAUGAAUUUUGUACUGUGAAAAAAAUAAAUUCACCUCUUAUUGUAUGUGUGUUCCUUUGGAUUUCUUAAUCACUUAACAAUGUUUCCGAAUUGAAUUGUUCAAGCUGGGUAGGUUGUACCCAUUCAACGCCAGUAAUACAACAUAUAUAUAUUUUUUUCCAAUGAAAGACUAAUUUUGGUUCGUGAGGGUCAAUUUAGUGCAUGGAAAAAAUAAAACCUAAAUAGUCUCUCACAUUUUCAUAUUAGAGACAAAUUAGUCCCUCUGUCAUAUAUUGAAUCGGGUGUUAUUUGUCACCAAUAUAAAAAGACAAGAGAUUACUUUAAAUUUUAUUUUCGUCAUGGAGUAAAUUGACAUGCAUGAAAAUUGUGAAAGACAUCUUCCCUCAUAUUUCUAUUUAAUCACAAAUGUCCACAUAUGUUGUUUUGUUAGAUUUGUCUUCAUUGCUUUGUCCCUUGUACUACGUAGGAAUCCAAGACAAAGAACCUUCAUUGAAAAUCAUAUACAUAUAAUAUUUCUAUUUGUAUUAUAACAUAAAAUAUUUGUAUUUAUAUUGUAUGAUUACAACUCAAAGAAAUUCAAGACAUGUCUUCCAGUUUCUAUACCCUUCCCCUAGUCUUCUUGUCCUUAAAUUUCUUAAUUUUCCCUUCUAAUUCAAUUCACUUCCAAAUUUCUCAUUUUAAUCCUAGUGAUGCCAACAUAGUCUACCAAGGUUCUGCAGCACCAAUCGAUGGAGAGGUUGAUUUCAACAUCAAUGAUGCAUAUUAUACUAGUCAAGUUGGAAGAGUCAUAUUUUCCAAGAAAGUUUUACUAUGGGACUCAAAAAUAGGUCAACUCACUGACUUCACAACCCAUUACACCUUUAUUAUCGACACUCAAAAUAGUUCUAGAUAUGGCCAUGGAAUUGCAUUUUUCUUGGUUCCUUUUGGAUUUGAAAUCCCACCUAAUUCUGCUGGUGCCUUUUUUGGUCUAUUUAACACCACGACAAUGAAUUCAACCAGUAACCUUCUUCAUGUGGAGUUUGAUUCUUACGCAAAUCGUCCCUGGGGUGAGACAACGGAGCAUGUGGGAAUCAACAACAAUUCAAUCAUUUCAUCGGUGUCAACACCUUGGAACGCAAGUUUACAUAGUGGAGAAACUACUGAGGUAUGGAUUAACUAUAAUUCUACAACCAAAAAUUUGAAUGUAUCUUGGAAAUAUCAAAACACCUAUGAUCCUCAAGAAAAAACUAGUAUUUCAUAUGAAAUUGACUUAAUAAAGGUCCUACCUGAAUGGGUUACUAUAGGAAUUUCUGCUUCAACAGGUUCCAUUGGAGAAAAGCACAAACUUCUAUCUUGGGAAUUCAGUUCCACUUUGGAACAAAGUGAUAAUGAUAAUAAUACAAAAAGGACUAGAUUAGUUGUGAUACUAGCAGUCACGUGUGGGAUUGUAGUUAUGGGAGUGGGAGCACUGGCAAUAUAUGCAUUACUUUGGAGGAAAAUAAAGAGAAGUAAAAAGAAAAAGGAAGAGGCUAUGCAUUUAAGAACAAUGAAUGAUGACCUUCAAAGAGGAGCAGGGCCAAGGAGGUUUACCUACCAAGAACUUGAUUUGGCUACCAAUAAAUUUACCGACGAUAGAAAAUUAGGUCAAGGUGGUUUUGGAGCUGUUUAUAAAGGUUACUUUUUCGAUCAAGAUUUAGCCGUUGCUGUGAAGAAAAUAUCAAGAGGGUCAAGACAAGGGAAGAAAGAGUAUGUAACUGAAGUUAAAGUUAUUAGCCAGCUGAGACAUAGGAAUCUUGUGAAGCUCUUAGGAUGGUGCCAUGACAAAGGUGAGUUUCUACUUGUUUAUGAGUUCAUGCCAAAUGGUAGUCUUGAUUCUCAUUUAUUCGGAAAAAGGACACCUCUUUCUUGGAGUGUAAGACAUAAAAUAGCUCUUGGAUUGGCUUUUGGGGUACUUUAUCUACAUGAAGAAUGGGAGAGGUGUGUGGUUCAUAGAGAUAUCAAAUCAAGUAAUGUUAUGCUAGAUUCUAGUUUCAAUGUUAAGCUUGGUGACUUUGGGUUGGCUAAACUAAUGGAUCAUGAGAUUGGACCCCAAACAACAGUGGUUGCCGGAACCUUAGGCUAUUUGGCUCCAGAAUAUAUAAGUACAGGUAAGGCUAGCAAAGAGUCAGAUGUGUAUAGUUUUGGGGUUGUUGCCUUGGAGAUCACAACUGGACGGAAAGCUGUUGAAGUUAUGAGGGAUAAAGAUGGAGAUAAGGGAUUGAUUGAGUGGGUUUGGGAUCAUCAUGGAAGAGGAGAGCUACUUGUGACCAUGGAUGAGAAUUUGCGAAAGGAUUUCGAUGAGAAACAAGUAGAGUGUUUGUUGAUUGUUGGAUUAUGGUGUGCUCAUCCUGAUGUAAGUCUAAGACCAUCCAUUAGACAAGCAAUUCAAGUGCUAAAUUUUGAGAUUGCUUUGCCAAAUCUUCCCCUGAAUAGGCCUAUUGCAACCUAUCAUGCUCCUACACCGACUCUAAGCUCGGUAGAAGCUUCCAUAACCACAAGUCUUCAACAUGGUCGUUAAAUAAUAAUGAUAAAUCUGGUGUUUGUGUCCGUUCUUGUUUUACAUAUGUAUAUCCAUUUUUUGUGUAUGAAUGUUUGAAGUUGGAAAUUAGAAACAGUCUUUUUAAAUAAUAUAUCAUUUUUUUGCUUUUUGUUUUUGUAAAUAUAGUGUAUUUGUUGUGUUUUAUUCUCAUUUGAGUGAAAACAGAGAUUGCCGUCUUAGCAUCAUGAACCUUGCUAAUUGCUAUGUGGGAAGAAUCUUUUAAUGAACUUAUAUUCAAUAAGAAACUGUAUUAUACAAAUAUACAAUCUAAACAACUGUACAAGUAAUCAAUAAUAAACUGUAUUAUACAAACUAAAAACAGAAUUAAAAACUAAGUUAAAUAUUUACAAGUUUUGUCUAGUUUGGAGGGUGAAUUAGCUUUUGAGAAAUGAGCAAAAAAGAGAAAAAUAUGUAAUUUCUUUAACAUGCAAUAUUUAAACUAAUUUGAUGUAGUUUGCGAAAACGGAGCCAUUUGUGAAAGAGGGUUUUACUGUGUAUGAGUUGGAAAAUGUACCAAAUCGUACUCAACUAAUAAAGUCGUGUAAGUUAUUAUCUCCAUAGUGAUUGUUGUUCAACUUAAUAAAUAAAACUUUAUUAUAAGUAAAUAAUUUAGAAAAGAUGAAGUUGUUUUGUAGGGUUUUAAUUGUCCUGCCCAAUGUGAGAUUAGUUUUUGUGAUUCAGAAGUUUAACGGCGAUUAGGGAAACCUUGAACCCCCCAACAUCCGUAUUAGUUGCAACUAACUCGGUUGAUUAUUAGUUUAUGACAUGUCUUUCGAUAUUAGAAAGUAAAAUAUAACCCCGUGAUAAAUCAGUGAAAGUUUUUUUUUUUUUUUAAUAUUGCCAAAAUUCAACCUGUUACAAUUGUGGUAUUCCCGUAAGAUGAUUCAUAGUCCUAAAUUCAUACUUAGAUUCUAUUAAAAGAAUUUAAUUGAGAAAAUAAGAAAUUUACUACUGUCUAGUUCAGACGGAAUUAUGAUUGUCAAUUCUAACAUGUUCUAUCUAAAAUAUGAUAUAGAAACAGAGAUAUACAAAUUAAAUCAGACACUUGAAUCAAAAACUACAUUAAAAUUUUUAUUAAUUGAAUCCAACAAAUAAGUAGGGUUCAUCGUAUAACCCUAAUAAAAGGUUUAGUUGCACAUCACAACAUGCAACAAUACAAAACAAAAGAAAACCACACCCUAGAGAGAGCAAUAGGAGGAUGGAGAUCCUUUGUCUUGAAGCUCUAAUGCUGAAACCUUGCUUUGUACCACCAGCUUUAUUAAUUAAUAAAAGAGUGCACAGGGGUCUAUAUUUAUAGUACUAUUAGCCUGCAUUUUUAUCUAGUGUUAUUUCGACAGGUAAAAGAAAGUUUAAAGCUGCAAAAAUUCUAUAAGUCCAUGAUUGAAGUUGCUGAGUUCGACAGAUGCUGAGAGUAUUCGACAUAAGCCAUGGUUCGAAAAAGCAUUAGAAGUUUUUGAAAUAAAGGUGGAAACUGGCAGACAGUUAUAUCAGCGAAGAAGUUGGUUUCAAGUGUCCAGACACGUGGAAGACAUGCAAUUUUCGACGAAGACAUGCAGUUUUUAGCAGUUUAGGUUAUGCAAUUAUUUUGGCUUAAUUGGAUUUUUGGUCCCCUAAGUAAUUAUCAGUUUUCAUUUUGGUCCCAUAAUUCGUAAAAUCAACAUUUCGGUCCCUCUUAUUUUGCUUCGUUAGUCAAGAGGGACCGAAAUGUUAAUUUUACGAGUUAUGGGACCAAAGUGAAAACUGAUAAUUAUUUAGGGGACUAAAAAUCCAAUUAAGCCAAUUAUUUUCUAUAUAUAUAUAUAUAGUAAUUUUUCAUACGAAAAAAAUGGUCGCAAAUCACUUAUAGAAUUCUAGCACUCGAAGUACCAUCAUCUAGAGAAAAGAGUCAUAUAGAAUGUGUGUAAUCUGAUUUGUCGAACAACCUUUACAUUAAUGCAAUGCAAUUUAGCUUUUCUUUAAAUUUUUGCGUUUAAACUUUUAAGUCUUUUACUUGCAUUUCCUUUAUUUAAUUUAUCUCUGUCGAAAGACAACUUUUUUAAUACACAAAACAAUUUUCUUCAUCUUGUUCAUAAAGUAACCUAUGAAUAUGAUGAACAUUUAUGCAUUUUAUGGAAAAAGAUUGCACAAUAUGAGACAAAGGGGCACAUGAGGCAGCAAAGGAAGAUGUCUCAUGUAUGGGGCGCAUGACCUAGUGCAUCCAGUGCAAAUUUUGCAGUUUUCAUCUCUUUUUUGAGUGUUUGUCCAUCUUGCAAUGGCUUGGAACUUGAAAUUUAUUUUCUUCAUUUUGUAUUGUCUUCAAAGACCUUCUAAGAACCAUUAAUCUUCAAUCUUCAUAUCCUCAAUCCUUCAUGUGAUGUCUUAUUUUGGCGAUUUACAUGAUUCUCACUAAAAAAACACAAAACACUUGUGAAGUUGCAUAAAUUAGGAUAAAACUGAAUUAUAACAACUCAAAUGAAAAGAACAUAAAAUGUUCCUCAAACCACUGACAACUCCUCCAAACGACACUUCUAAUUUUCCUUUAAAUGCACAAAAAAAAAAAAAUUACUAAAAUUAUAGCAUAAAAUAUCAUAUUGCGUUCCAUCAUCACAAACCUAAACUUAUAUCGUUGCUUAUCCUCAAGAAGUAAAAUAUCAAGAAGUUAUAAUUUACAUUAAUUUAAAAAUUGAAACAUACCUUUCAGAGAUGAUGAUUUGAUUGUGACUCUUCCCACUUCCACAUUUGACUAGUUUAUCACUUCCAUGCAAACGGGAAACACUUAAAGAAGAUACUCUUAAUUUCAACCACUUAUAAUUCAAAGAUACACGUAUCUACCUCCUAAAGAUACAAUUCAAAAUAGGGGUGCCCCUGGCAAAAGCAAGUCUCUGCCUAGUCACUAGGGUCUACAGAAAAGUCAAAUAAGAAAAUAAAACAGGGCCUUAAUGCAGUUUGCCAAGGGUUAGCCCUUGGGUUUGCAACCUUUUCAUAAACAUGUUAGCCCAUUGUCAAAUCCUCCUGCAAAAGAUGUUUUUUGUCCAAAUCCAGGGUUAUCCCCUGAGAAAGGCCCUGACAAAUGGCCUGCCAUAUCUGCAAACCCAUAUGAUGUGCUCUUUAUUUGAAUUUCAAAACUCCUGCUCUCAUUUUGCCAGGAGCCAACAUGCAAAAACGAGGGGCACAUUCAUGUAUCACCUUGGGAUGCACAAAUGCAAUUUGCGAAGGGCAUCUCCUAGCUUCACCCCACGCAAAUUUUCCAAGGGUACUUGCCCCUGACAAAUAUCCCUAAAAAAUUAUCAGAUUUGUUGUAGUGAUCACUGCCAGGUUGUAACAAUAGAUCUUAUUUUUUUAACAAGCGGUUACAACAUCCAAUGAUGAACAAGAAGAGCCGUUUAUGAACUACUUGUCUAAGAGUCAAAGGAAAAAAAGUUGAAUAGAGCUUAUUAAACCCGUUUUAAGUGUCCUUCUUUUAAUGCUCCCCAAAUGAGUACUGAAAUAUGAGGCAAAUUGGCAAUUCUGAAUCUAUAAAUGCUUUCAAAUUGUAUCUCUCUUAGUCUUCAAGUGAUUUCAUAUAAAAUUUUCAACGAAGGUAAGGGCUGCGCAAACAUGCUUGUGAAUCAUGGUCAUCAUAAUAAUUGAUUUUGGUGGGAUUUUUUCCAGUUUUAUGUGUGAUGACUUUUUUAUGGACCGUUAUGGGUUACCUAAUUUUCGCUUUCCGUAACUUUGUUUUGUCAUCUUUUGCUUUCCUUUUGACUUUUUCUUAUAGGGUCUUGGUUUGGCCCCCUCCUGUACAUAUUUUUCCCUUCUUUAUAAUAUAUAUUAUUAUGAGUAAGUAGCAUAUGAUGAGAGUUGCUUGGGGGUGCCGAUUUAGUCAGGAUGUCCAAUCUCUCCUUGAUAUCCUCCUUACUCUUACUCUUGAUUCAGUUAAAAAAAGAAAAAAAAAAAACUUGUAUUUAUCUAUUGACUUCUUUAAGGUAUAAUAUAUACUCAACUUUCACGCAACCAUAUUGCCACCCUUAACAUAAGGUUUUUUAUUCCUCAAACCAUAUUAUAUUUUACCUUAUAAUAAUACAUUCAAAGUGUAACCAUUAAAGAAAAUAUCAUUGUACCAGUCAAGACAAUAACUUUUUAUUAUAAUCUUAUGCAAGGAAAAUAAGUAACAUUAUCAUGAUUCCAUUGAUAAAGUAUCAAUUAACGACCAUCUUGAAGGCUAUUGGUUAUGGAAGCUUCUACAGAGCUUACCGAUGAUGAAGGAACAUGAUAGGUUGCAACUGGCCUCUUUGGUGGAAGAUUUGGCAAGGCAACCUCAAAAUUAAGCACUUGAAUUGCUUGUCUAAUCGAUGGUCUAAGACUAACAUCAGGAUGAGCACACCACAAUCCAACAAUCAUCAAGCACUCUACUUCUUUCUCAUCAAAAUCAUUUUGCAAAUUUUCAUCCAUGGCGACAAGUAGCUCUCCACUUCCAUAAUGAUCCCAAAUCCAUUCAAUCAUUCCCUGCUCUUCAUUUUUUUGCUUCAUCACUUUAGUAGCUUUCUUACCAGUAGUUAUCUCCAAAGCAACUAUCCCAAAACUAUACACAUCUGACUCUUUACUUGCCCUACCUGUGCUCACAUAUUCCGGAGCUAGAUAGCCAAAUGUUCCGGCCAGCCCAGUUGUUUGCGGCCCAAGUUCAUGGUCCAUUAACUUAGCCAACCCAAAAUCACCAAGCUUGACAUUGAAACUUGAGUCUAACAUAACAUUACUUGAUUUAAUAUCCCUAUGAACCACACACCUCUCCCAUUCUUCAUGUAGAUAAAGCAAACCAGAAGCCAAUCCAAGAGCUAUUUUGUGCCUUACACCCCAAGAAAGAGGUGUUCUUUUACCAAAUAAAUGAGAAUCAAGACUACCAUUUGGCAUGAACUCAUAAACAAGUAGAAACUCACCUUUGUCAUGGCACCAACCCAAAAGCUUCACAAGAUUCCUAUGUCUCAGUUGACUAAUGACUUUAACUUCAGUUACAUACUCUUUCUUUCCUUGUCUUGAUCCUCUUGAUAUUUUCUUCACAGCAACUUGUAAAUCUAAAUCAGCAAAGUAACCUUUAUAAACAGCUCCAAAACCACCUUGACCCAACUUUCUAUCCUUAGAGAAGUUAUUGGUUGCCAAAUCAAGUUCUUUGUAGGUGAACCUUCUUGGCCCUGCUCCUCUUUCAAGAUCAUCAUUCAUUGAAGUCAAAUGCAUAGCCUCUUCCUUUUGCUU